rnacentral:lncRNA from 1 species
CCAGAAAAUAGUUUUAUAUAUUUAAUUCAUUAACUAUUCCUUGUAGAACUGAUUUCACAUUCCAUUUUCCAGCCCCAUAGAGAGAGACCAAGAGAAAUAAUAUCAAAUUUGAAUUAAUAGGAAUUUUGAGUACAACUGGUGCUCCCUGCACCUCCUACUUACAUACAUGUACACAUAACACUUACUAUAUAUGUAAUGCAUACCAAUCUCAAAUUCUAAUUAACUUAAAAGCAAUGGAAUAGCCAACAUUUUUGAACAUUCACACCUUUGUUUCCGGAUGAUCACCGGACUAUUCCAAACAGAGUCGGUAACCAAUCAAUGAUAUCAAUCUCUGCAUUUUG